rnacentral:rRNA from 1 species
UACGGGGGGGGCAAGCGUUGUUCGGAAUUACUGGGCGUAAAGGGCUCGUAGGCGGCCAACUAAGUCAGACGUGAAAUCCCUCGGCUCAACCGGGGAACUGCGUCUGAUACUGGAUGGCUUGAAUCCGGAAGAGGGAUGCGGAAUUCCAGGUGUAGCGGUGAAAUGCGUAGAUAUCUGGAGGAACACCGGUGGCGAAGGCGGCAUCCUGGGUCAGAAUUGACGCUGAGGAGCGAAAGCCAGGGGAGCAAACGGG